GCCUUUUGUAGGAACAUGAUUCAAGAAAGGGUUACAGAAGGACCUUCUAUUCCAGUCUUCUUAAGAGCUGAACUUCUCCACAGGACGAUCCUGUGAGCUGGUACUGGCUGAAAAGAAAAAAAAAUAUUUCCUGCACUGAAAGAAUCUGAAGUCAGAGACAACAGUAGAAUUUCCGUGGAAAAACAAGAAAUAACUACCUCUGGACUGAAACAGGCCUCAGGCUUCUGUAUGUUGCCACACUCCUCCCCAGCAGCCGUGAACUUUGUGAACAAACACAGACGUUCCUCAUCUGUGAUCUCUGGCAUCCACUUCACUAAGUUGACCAGAAACCUGUGCUCGUAGACACCCAACAGAAUCGGUGAAUGACUACCCCUGCAGCCCUCCCCCCUGCAGCCCUCCCCCCUGAAGCCCUCCCCCCUGCAGCCCUCCCCCCUACAGCCCCUCUUCUUUCACAUGUUUGUUACACAAACACAUCCUAGGUUUCAGAUUUGGUGAGUGCAAAACGUUUAAAUGUUCCUCUUCUGCAAGGGUCUUACAAAACUUUCUAAUUCACUAGGUGGACUUUUUGAGGACUAUAUAGCCACAGACAAAAAUGUACCCUAUUGAACAUAGUAGGUCUUUUAAAAGACUUGUUUCCCAGAUCAGCUCUCUUCCCUCAGUGGCUAAAAGCUGUUUCCAUUACACUUGGUACAGACAAGGGUCUAAAUCCAAAAUCAUGGGUCUUAUGCUUGACAUUUGAAACGCUACACUAGAAAAUACAAGUAAAAUCCCUGCCACUUUGGAUCUUUCCUGCUUUAAAACACUGAAGUCUCAAGGCAAAAAUCUGUAUCUUUGGAGAUGGUGAGACGGCUCAGUGGAUGAAGGUGCUUGCCACCAAGCUUGGUGACCAGAGCUCCAUUCCCAGGACUCACAGGACGGCAGGAAAAAAAAACAAAAAAAACAAAAAACAACUGUCAAAUGUUAUCAUCCAACCUCUCAAAUCACAUACAUGAUGGGUGUCAUGGCAUGUGCACACACAUAGAUACACUUACACACACACAUACACUUAUACACACAUACAUACACUUACACACACAUACAUACACUUACACACAUACAUACACUUACACACACAUACAUACACUUACACACAUACAUACACUUACACACACAUAUAUACACUUACACACAUACAUACACUUAUACACACACAUACAUACACUUACACACACAUACAUACACUUAUACACACACACAUACACUUAUACACACAUACAUACACUUACACAUACAUACACUUAUACACACAAAUAAAUAAAUACAAUAAUAUUUUACAUGUCCAUAUUAUAUUCUCUCUCUCUCUCUCCCUCUCCACCUCCCUCUCCCCCUCCCCCUCCCCCUCUCCCUCUCCCUCUCCCUGUCCCUGUCUCUGUCUCUGUCUCUGUCUCUGUCUCAAAAAAAUCCGGCUGAUUUGCACCUGCCCAGCAGGACUUUGGCUAUCUGCCUGACCCAUCCUUCCAAACCACAGUCUGUUCACAACAGACUCUGCAAAUAAGGGGAAAGACAUGGCCUAGAUGUUUGCUCGUAAACAACAGCAGUAAGUAAGCAAUGUUGUUGAACUAACCAAAUCGUGUCAGCCGAUACAGUAAAUUUUCAGAGACAGAUGUGCCUUUGGGCUUCGUACCUGUGUCUCUUAUUCUGAAGGUCCUCCUUGAGAGGCUGACACCAGUCUGCACGCAAAGCAGAUACAAGUGCAGAGACUGAUGGGAGUGCAUAGGUGGUGUCGGCUUUCAGGUGCUCAAAGCAGGGUCUCCUGAAGGCAAAGUCAGCUCUGCAGCAGUGAUCCACAGUGGGAUUGAUAGUUCGAUUCUUAUUUAUUCCACAUAAUUCUCCAAGAACUAAAUCUGCCUAUACCAACGAGAAGUGGAACGCUGGUAUGAUUUUAAAAUGCCAAGGACAUUAUAUCUAUCUAUAUCUAGAUAGAUAGAUAGAUAGAUAGAUAGAUAGAUAGAUAGAUAGAUAGAUAGAUGUAAUUAGAUGAAUAGCUAGUUGUGAGAUCACCAGCAACCUUGCUUAGGAAAACACAAGGUAUCCAUGCUACUGUGCUGUGUGGCAGGAAUUAUAAAGGCUAACUAACAAUAUUGCGAAAAUUCAAUCGUCAGUAGAUGCCUAUGGAUUAAGUUUUCAUGUUAUAUACACAAAGUUUCUAUCGUAUACAGAGACUUGUGACCUCAAAGUAACAAUUGAACAUGGGUCUCUGGGCACACCCCUUCCCCCAUGCUCUCGAUCCCAUUCCUAAAAGACUGGGCAGAAAGUAGCAUUUCUCUUCCAAACUCUUCCUUUGGGGACAAAAGGCAAAAUUUGUAACACUAUUUAAAAUGGUCGGCUUUGUAGUCUGGGAUGUAGAAGCCUUCCCACCAUGUGUAAGACCUACAAAAUAAAUGAAUAAGUCUUCUGAGGCCAU